GCAAUAAUGCAAAGUCGUACGCUUCUUUUUCCACCGGAGCUUGCUCCACCGGAAAAAGAAGAGUGGCGAACGGGUGAGUAACACGUGGGUAACCUGCCCAUCAGAAGGGGAUAACACUUGGAAACAGGUGCUAAUACCGUAUAACAAUCGAAACCGCAUGGUUUUGAUUUGAAAGGCGCUUUCGGGUGUCGCUGAUGGAUGGACCCGCGGUGCAUUAGCUAGUUGGUGAGGUAACGGCUCACCAAGGCUACGAUGCAUAGCCGACCUGAGAGGGUGAUCGGCCACAUUGGGACUGAGACACGGCCCAAACUCCUACGGGAGGCAGCAGUAGGGAAUCUUCGGCAAUGGACGAAAGUCUGACCGAGCAACGCCGCGUGAGUGAAGAAGGUUUUCGGAUCGUAAAACUCUGUUGUUAGAGAAGAACAAGGAUGAGAGUAACUGUUCAUCCCUUGACGGUAUCUAACCAGAAAGCCACGGCUAACUACGUGCCAGCAGCCGCGGUAAUACGUAGGUGGCAAGCGUUGUCCGGAUUUAUUGGGCGUAAAGCGAGCGCAGGCGGUUUCUUAAGUCUGAUGUGAAAGCCCCCGGCUCAACCGGGGAGGGUCAUUGGAAACUGGGAGACUUGAGUGCAGAAGAGGAGAGUGGAAUUCCAUGUGUAGCGGUGAAAUGCGUAGAUAUAUGGAGGAACACCAGUGGCGAAAGCGGCUCUCUGGUCUGUAACUGACGCUGAGCUCGAAAGCGUGGGGAGCAAACAGGAUUAGAUACCCUGGUAGUCCACGCCGUAAACGAUGAGUGCUAAGUGUUGGAGGGUUUCCGCCCUUCAGUGCUGCAGCUAACGCAUUAAGCACUCCGCCUGGGGAGUACGACCGCAGGUUGAAACUCAAGGAUUGACGGGGCCCGCACAAGCGUGGAGCAUGGUGUUUAAUUCGAAGCAACGCGAAGAACCUUACCAGUCUUGA
rnacentral:rRNA from 1 species